rnacentral:rRNA from 1 species
CAGUAGCCGCGGUAAUACGAAGGGUGCAAGCGUUAAUCGGAAUUACUGGGCGUAAAGCGUGCGUAGGCGGUGAGUUAAGUCUGCUGUGAAAUCCCCGGGCUCAACCUGGGAAUGGCGGUGGAUACUGGCUCGCUAGAGUGUGUCAGAGGAUGGUGGAAUUCCCGGUGUAGCGGUGAAAUGCGUAGAGAUCGGGAGGAACAUCAGUGGCGAAGGCGGCCAUCUGGGACAACACUGACGCUGAGGCACGAAAGCGUGGGGAGCAAACAGGAUUAGAUACCCCCGUAGUCCCUGUCUCUUAUAC